AACGCACAUUGCGCCCAUUAGUAUUCUAGUGGGCAUGCCUGUUCGAGCGUCAUUUCAACCCCUAAGCACAGCUUAUUGUUGGGACUCUACGGCUUCGUAGUUCCCCAAAGACAUUGGCGGAGUGGCAGCAGUCCUCUGAGCGUAGUAAUUCUUUAUCUCGCUUUUGUUAGGCGCUGCCCCCCCGGCCGUAAAACCCCCAAUUUUUUCUGGUUGACCUCGGAUCAGGUAGGAAUACCCGCUGAACUUAA
rnacentral:misc_RNA from 1 species